UCAGCUGUGUUAUGUUUUAUUUCUGUCCUUUUCUGUAAGUGAUAACACUAACAACAUUUUGUUCAACAUUUGCUUUGCUGUAGCCCUGGCUACACACACACACACACACACACGCUUUCUUCACCAAUGUAUAAAACCAACUAGUUUCUACAACUUCUGAAUCCGAUUUAUACCGUAACGAGUAAUCUGAUUCUUUGACUCAAAUAGAAACCAAGAUGCCUCACACACACACUUCCACACACACACACACACACAUACUACUGCUAGACAGUUUAGGAGCUUUGCUGUGAAUUACUGAAUGAUAGGACCAGUUCUACACAGCAGCACACAGUUUAAGUACAACUUUUAUUAAUACUGGAAUCAUCACAGUGCAUUUUGUUACAUUAGCAGUGACUGAACAGAAAAAGGGUCACUUUUACAAAAAAAAGGAAGACAGGAAAAAAAAGAAAAGGUAAUAUCAGUGACAAAGAGAAAAACAACCUUAAAAAUCAAUGAACAAUAAAUUAAAAGGAACAUCAGAGGAAACGCAGGGAGACAAAACCACAGUGACUACUGGAGGGUAAGAAGGAGGUUAAAUGAUCGGGUGGAAACAUCGAGUAAGCAGGUUUUCACUCGGGUCACAGUGUUCAGCGUGAACUAAGUGGCCCCCGUAGAAAAUGUCUCCAUGGCGACUUGGGCACAGAUUUCUCUAGAGUUCAGAUCUUCUUCUCGUUCAAGAAGGAACAAGAGAGCAAGAGUGACUACUGAGACGUUGAGAAAAGACAGCAAGACAUUCACUUUAGUUACAGCGACAGUGGCACCUGGAGGCCCGUUUGGCUACUUGGUUGUGGAUGUUUGAUGGGAACUUACAGAGCGUUACAUCAUGAGCCCCCUAGAGGACAUCAGUGAACCCUUAUGCGGCCACUGAGGAUCUACCUUUGUCAUGUUCACCUCAAAUGAGUGUCUAGCAGUGUGUGUGCGUGUCUGUGGGUGUGUGUUGGAUUUGUUGAGUGUGGGACUUCAAGAAGGAUUGACAGAUUGUGUGUGGGAAGUGGAAAGGAAGAACAGUAGGGGUUUUAACCACGUGUCCUUGAGGAGCACGAAAACUCUUUCUCACACACACACACACACACACACCCCUACGCACGCAGCAUUUUAUAUAGCUUAGGCAGAUGGCUUAAGAAGCAGGAAGUGCCCAAGAAUUUCAUGAUGCUUCUUUUAGUCUCACUCGGAACACAAAGCGACCUGCGGGAUUGUGGACGAGCGCUGCAACGUCUUCGUUUGGACUAGCUACGUGAUGAGCAGCGUCGCUUCAAAAUGUACUUGUCCACACGUCUGUGUGUUCAUGAAACCCACAAAUUACCGGACACAAACGUUGACCCCCCAGAUCUUUUGCAGUUGAGUUCCUCACAGCGGAAAUCUUUCAGCAACCUAAAGGUCUCCGAUUCCAUGAGGGAGAUUUAGGAAAGUGUUAAUAUAACAACAAAUCUCAGCUACUGCAGCUUUAAUCUGGAAAAAUGUAAUAAAAUCUGCUUCAGUUCAGGAGGGUCUGCGGGGAAAACACUGGAUGGAGAACGCAGGGUGGAAUCAGAAACAACAAGAGGCCCAGGACCAGGCGCUCUGCAGUGUUAAUUAACCCUCACAACAAUAGUUCUCUCUUAUUUCAACAAUACUAGUCAUGUCUGCAAAUAUGUUAAACAACAAAUAUAAAGGAAGUAUUUGGACAUUUUUAAAAUUUCUCCAGGAAUCAGAUCAGAUCAGGUCAGAUGUCUGACCAAAUUUUAUUUGUUUCGGGGUUAUGGGUCAACUCUACCCUCAUUAGGUAGGAACCACAUCUAGGAGAUCAGGACAAGCCUAUGUUAUAGUUGGCAAAGUGGCAGUUUUUUAAAUUUAUUUUUAUUAAGUUUUGGGUGUCACAUGGUCUUAUAGCAGCAGUCUCUCUUUCCCCACGUGGACGAGGCAGAUAGAAGUCAUUUUUCCAAAACUCGAACGUUUCGGGAGAGCGACUGUUUUUCUCAUUUGCAGGUAUUUAUAGCGGCCAGGAUCAAUGAAAUUAAACAAUUCACUUCAGGUCCUGCAGGACGUUUUAGUGCUGGAUUUGGUUGGAGAUCGAUUUAAAGUUUCCAUGCCAACAUGUGAAGUAAACUAACACUAGUGGUGGUUAAUCCAGUGAUUACAAAAUGUAAUUUAAUUCAUUAAAAUGACAAAUUAUCCGUCAAAAAUAGAUAUUUUAAUGCAUGUUGACGUUGAGGCCUCUCAGAGUUCAGCAGCAUGCGUUGCUGCUUGCACUUUUGAGUUUUGUUGGGUUUUUUUUAGCAUGGAAGCUCACCAGAAAAAAAACAAUAAAAGAAAAAAAUCAUAUAAAGUUGCUUUUGAUCUGCUGCCAAGAAACGUCUCAAAAAACCUGAUCAAAAUUAAUUAAAAUGUAAUCUAGCAUAGAGAUGGAGCGUUGGGCGCCCAUCUGCUUGCCUGGAAAAAAGCUCCCGUUAGCACAUCCACCAGCCCCGUUACCCCCGUUAGCAAUUCCAACUCAUACAACAGCCCACCCAGGACGCGUUAGCCACCGCAGCACACAAGGCCCACAAUUUGCACCUGUGCACACAUGCAAACCAACAGGAAGUUAAUAGACAUAGAGGGGAUUUGGGUGAGGAAUGAAUGAGGAGGGGAGAAUAAACUGAGCACAGAGCAAGUAUCCGCAGCGGGCGUAGGUGGAAAUUAAGACUUCAUCAGAAUUAUUUUUCAUUAGCUCUAAUAGACUGAGAGGCACAGAGAGACCAACUACGGUCUCUACACCAACUACGGUGUUUUGGUUCUCCCGUCAACCACCAAGCACUGUUUUGUUUUUGUUUUUUUAACUUGUCUGCUGGGUGUAACCGAUGUACGGACGGAGACGAGGGCUCAGGAAAUGAUGGGAGGUUACGGGAUGAAAGACCUUAACAUGGCAGAAAAGAAACACAUCCGCCUGCUUUAGCUUGCCAAAGAGUGCUAAGAGCAUUUUGAGAGUGUAUGCUGAGUGUGUGAGGCCAUGUGGGAGCAUGCAUGUUGGCACAAUAUUCCUUUAUGUUCCUUCCUAUGUAGCUUUGACCGUUGGCUGGUUGGCUUGCUGUUAUUUACAUGGCGACUCAGAAAAUGACAAAACUGGAGCAAAAAUCAAUUCAGCAUGUUGACACAGACAGGUCAGCGCAAAAUAACCCAUCAAAGAAAAAACAUGAUUUCCUUGGAUUCCCUUAGGGGUGUAUUUAGAUCUUGUGGAAUAAGAACCUGUGAUAUUACACCAACAUGACUUUGAUGUCAUCAAAGUCUGGCUGUGUAGACAUUAUCCAGUUAACAACAUCUGGAUAAGUAGGCUUAUUUUAUUUUGUAUGUAAAAUGAACGUUCUAUUUUGUUUGACACUUUUAAUUUGAAGCAAUAGAGGAAGUAGUUCUUGAGCUAUAUUGUGUUUGACAAAGUUGGGGGGAAAAAAAGAUAUUAAAAAUACAGCAGUCCGACCAUUCAAAGACUUCUGAGCAGCUUUUUUCACGCUUCCAAUUGUACAUUAAAAAUUUAUCUUUGGAAAUGAGAUUCAAGUGUUUGAUAUUGGAAGGCCUCUUUACCAUCACCCUAAUCUUUUGCUCCCUCCACAGAAGAUCUAUCAGAUUCAAGUUGCGACUCUGGCAGGGCCAUAAUAAAAUGUUAAUAUUACUUCCAGUGAGAACAAAAGUUAAUUUUAAAAGAUUGCUUUUACAUCUACAGUAAUUGGUGAUGUACAGUACCUGUCCCAAAGUACCUACUAACAGAUGACAGCAGAGCUAACAUGUUGAGAAGAGAGAAUAAAACCAUAAACAUUUGAUGCCUUGGUGUUUAUAACAGUGUCCACGUCGAAUAUCUUUCUACAUGGCAAUCAUACCACUUUUUUAUAUAUAUAUAUAAAAUUAAAAUAUAUUUAAUUAUUCAAAACUGUCAUCUUUUGAGAAAUUUCUGUCUAACUUUCUAUCAGAAACAAACUCUUUGGUUGAGUGGAACUAAUGUGAAAUCUGAAUCUGCCAAGGGUGUGAAUAAUCAGAGACUCAUUCUUACUUCAGACAGAACUACGCCGUUUUUAACAGUUACUUGUAAUUACACUGCAGUGUUUAGCAUCGAGGAACGUAAGUGACCCAGGUUCUGUUUUAAGAUAGCGCUGGUUCAAAGUGUUUCAUCCACUAUUAAAAAAUAUAUAUACAGUUUCUCACAAAUGAGCUGAUAUUUUUGUGUUGUGUUUGCGAGCUCAUGGAAAACUGUGGGCAUUCUAGAGGUCAGGUCAGCUUCUCUAUGGUGUCAAUAUGAGAUCAACUGAAUUUUGAAUGUCUCUCUUGUUUAACUUCUUUCAGGUUUUAUUUCCACCCAAUUACAAUCACAUUUGGCCAUUUCUUUUUACUUGCACUCAAAUGAAAAACAUAAAGUGACGUGCCUUUCCUGAGAUGGUGCUUUAACUGUUCCACUCGAUGUGCUUUACAGUUUCGGAAGGUAUUUUUCUAUUUUAAAAGUCGUCAGAUUUACAACUAGUUUUAAGGUAAAAGACAAAAAAAAACUAAACUGAU